GAUGAACGCUAGCUACAGGCUUAACACAUGCAAGUCGAGGGGUAACGAGAGGAAAGCUUGCUUUCCUUGUCGACGACCGGCGCACGGGUGAGUAACGCGUAUCCAACCUGCCCCCAACUAAGGAAUAACCUUGCGAAAGUAAGACUAAUACCUUAUAAUUUCCUCAGAUGACAUCUGACGAGGAAUAAAGAUUUAUCGGUUGUGGAUGGGGAUGCGUCUGAUUAGCUUGUUGGCGGGGUAACGGCCCACCAAGGCAACGAUCAGUAGGGGUUCUGAGAGGAAGGUCCCCCACAUUGGAACUGAGACACGGUCCAAACUCCUACGGGAGGCAGCAGUGAGGAAUAUUGGUCAAUGGGCGGAAGCCUGAACCAGCCAAGUAGCGUGCAGGAUGACGGCCCUAUGGGUUGUAAACUGCUUUUAUACAGGAAUAAAGUUAGCCACGUGUGGUUAUUUGUAGGUACUGUAUGAAUAAGGACCGGCUAAUUCCGUGCCAGCAGCCGCCGUAA
rnacentral:rRNA from 1 species